rnacentral:rRNA from 1 species
GACGAACGCUGGCGGCGUGCUUAACACAUGCAAGUCGAACGAAGUGGCGAACGGGUGAGUAAGGCGGAAUCAACCUGGCCUUCAGAGGGGGACAACAGGUGGAAACGACUGCUAAGACCGCAUACGGAAGGAGGGGAUGGCGUCUGAUUAGCUAGUUGGAGGGGUAACGGCCCACCAAGGCGAUGAUCAGUAGCCGGUCUGAGAGGAUGACCGGCCACAUUGGGACUGAGACACGGUCCAGACUCCUACGGGAGGCAGCAGUGGGGAAUAUUGCACAAUGGGCGCAAGCCUGAUGCAGCCAUGCCGCGUGUAUGAAGAAGGCUUUCGGGUUGUAAAGUACUGUCAUCGAGGAGCGUUACUCGCCGAAGAAGCACCGGCUAACUCCGUGCCAGCAGCCGCGGUAAUAC